AGGUGUUGACGAGUGUCCCAUCUCAACAGCACCUAGCAGAGCUUAAACGCAAGGCUAUUGAUCAGGGAUCACCCGUGUUACUGGUUAUUAGUUGCGACAAAGAUGGCCUGCUGUGUUCAGAAUUUCUCAAGAAAGGAUUUGACAUACACAAUGCUGAACUAAUCUUGUCAGGUGUAUUGAAGCAGCAAUUGGAUCUCGACUUAUAUAAACUUGAAAUAACUUUGGAGUGACAGCAUGUUACAGAUGUAAAAGUUUCGCCCCUCACGAAUUUAAAUUUUAGUUAGAUUUAAUCAAUAUUUUUCACUCAGUGUUAUCUGGCUUUUUAUCACGAUAUUGAUGAUAUGUUCGA